AUUCUUCUGCAGCUUAUAAGAAUGAUGAAAAGGUAUUCAUGGUCAUGUGGAAGAUGCGCCUCCCUCCAACCUUGUUACAAUGCAGACCUUAGCACUUUACCCAUCUGAUG
ensembl:snoRNA